GACGAACGCUGGCGGCGUGCUUAACACAUGCAAGGCGAACGGAAAGGCCCUGCUUUUGUGGGGUGCUCGAGUGGCGAACGGGUGAGUAACACGUGAGUAACCUGCCCGUGACUUUGGGAUAACUUCAGGAAACUGGGGCUAAUACCGGAUAGGAGCUCCUGCUGCAUGGUGGGGGUUGGAAAGUUUCGGCGGUUGGGGAUGGACUCGCGGCUUAUCAGCUUGUUGGUGGGGUAGUGGCUUACCAAGGCUUUGACGGGUAGCCGGCCUGAGAGGGUGACCGGCCACAUUGGGACUGAGAUACGGCCCAGACUCCUACGGGAGGCAGCAGUGGGGAAUAUUGCACAAUGGGCGGAAGCCUGAUGCAGCAACGCCGCGUGCGGGAUGACGGCCUUCGGGUUGUAAACCGCUUUCGCCUGUGACGAAGCGUGAGUGACGGUAAUGGGUAAAGAAGCACCGGCUAACUACGUG
rnacentral:rRNA from 1 species